rnacentral:rRNA from 1 species
UGAGGAAUAUUGGGCAAUGGGCGGAAGCCUGACCCAGCAACGCCGCGUGAAGGAAGACGGUUUUCGGAUUGUAAACUUCUUUUAAGAGGGACGAUAAUGACGGUACCUCUUGAAUAAGCCACGGCUAACUACGUGCCAGCAGCCGCGGUAAUACGUAGGUGGCAAGCGUUGUCCGGAAUUACUGGGUGUAAGGGGAGCGCAGGCGGGAAAUCAAGUUGGAUGUGAAAUGUCGGGGCUUAACCCCGGAACUGCAUCCAAAACUGAUAUUUUUGAGUGAAGUAGAGGUAGGCGGAAUUCCGAGUGUAGCGGUGAAAUGCGUAGAUAUUCGGAGGAACACCAGUGGCGAAGGCGGCCUACUGGGCUUUAACUGACGCUGAGGCUCGAAAGUGUGGGGAGCAAACAGGAUUAGAUACCCUGGUAGU